AUGCCUUAGCCAGAAAGUCUUUUUUCUACCAAAUAUUUUCAGUGCUGUUUCUAUAAAGGUCAGCUAUUGUUGUAUGCCUUAGUCUAAGAGUCUUUUUUUUCUACCAAAUAUUUUCAAUGCUGUUUCUAUAAAGGGCAGCGUGCUGUUGCUAUAUGCCUUAGCAUAAAAGUCUAUUUUCCAUCCAAAUAUUUUCAGUGCUGUUUCUAUAAAGGACAGCUUGCUAUUGCUAUAUGCCUUAGCCUAAAGUCCUUUUUUCCAUCCAAAUAUUUUCAGUGCUGUUUCUAUAAAGGACAGCUUGCUAUUGCUAUAUGCCUUAGCAUAAAAGUCUUUAUUUCCAUCCAAAUAUUUUCAGUGCUGUUUCUAUAAGGGCAGCGUGCUAUUGCUAUAUGCCUUAGCCUAAAAGUUUUUUUCCAUCCAGAUAUUUUCAGCUGUUUCUAUAAGGGCAGCGUGCUAUUGCUAUAUGCCUUGGCCUGAAAGUCUUUUUUCCAUCCAGAUAUUUUCAAUGCUGUUUCUAUAAGGGCAGCGUGCUAUUUUUUGACUUUUUUUCAUCCAAGCAUUUUCAGUGCUGUUUCUAUAAAGGGCAGCUUGCUAUUGCUAUAUGCCCUAGCAUAAAAGUCUUUUUUUCUGUCCAAAUAUUUUCAGUGCUGUUUCUAUAAGGGACAGCUUGCUACUGCUAUAUGCCCUAGCCUAAUAGUCCUUUUUUCCAUCCAACUAUUUUCAGGCUAUAAAGGAAGGCUACUGCUAUCACUAGCUAUAUGUUUCCGCUAAAAAAUAAACUGCAUGCAUGUUUAUUGUUAAUAUGUCAGUUACAUUUGUGUUAGAAUGGUGCCUUGGAAAUGGGGUUUCACACUAGGAUUUGCACAUUUUAGUAUUUCAAGCGCAUUAGGUCUCUUAGGUUCUAGUUUAAGGCCAAUAUGAGCGAGUGAGAUAAACUCGAGUAGCUAGGUAAGGCAUCAAGCGUGAAAUCCACGCACCAGGCCCCUCAGCAUCGAACCCCAAACCUUUUUUCAACACUAAAUAUGAAAUUACCCCACCUUACCACAUCGUUGAAGAAUAAUGGUGGAUAUCUUGGGCAAAUGUGCAUUCUCAUGGUGGAUAUAUUGGGCAAAUGUGCAAUAUCAUGAGGGAUAUCUUGGGCAAAUGUGCAUUAUUAAAGAUAUAUUGGUACUAUUAAUAACCUCGUACGUGGAAUUGUAGGGUAAUCAUACAUCGGUGUGUGAUUGCUCGAUACUGAAGAAAGAAGACGUCGUAAGGUUUGUGGAUUUUGAUAAAUACGGGGGUGGGGCCCUGCGGUUAACAUAAAAGAAUGGUGACUAGGCGGCUACAAUAUAUGGUGAAUGUUAACAAUAUGGCGGAUUAUUACAAUAUGGCGACAGCAAUUUGUAACAAUAUGGCGACAGCAAUUAAGCGCAGCAAAAAUAUUGGUUCAAAAGCGAGAUUUGAGCAAAAAAUCCAGUCGUUAAAUUGAAAAUCCGGUCAUUCGCAAAAAUCCGGCAAAAAUACAUUAGCAACAAUUGCGGUAUGCAGAUCUACUUAAAACUACAUGCUAAGCACAUAUCAAAAUCAGGCUUGACUUAGGAGUUUUAUAUGGGGGCCCCAGAUAGUGUAAUAAUGCAUAUACUGCGAAACAUGAUAUUGGAUAAACGAUAUUAUAUAUACACUAUAUUUUUGAUAACGAAACAUGCUUAUUUAUAAAAUCAAGUCAAAUUGAUAAAAAUCUAAUAUUUUGGACAUGACUUUAGGAAUUUUAUUUUUUAAAUUUAUUUUAUUAUUUUCUAUAAAUGGGGGCCCCAAAUAGUUCGAGGAUCGGAAUAGUUGAUAACAUAUAAGAUAGUUAUUUUGUGUAUAGUAGGUAGGCUAAUAACGUUUCUGUAAUAUAUAAUACAUUCAUGUAUUAUAUAAUGGUAUAAAAC
rnacentral:lncRNA from 1 species